rnacentral:tRNA from 1 species
GUCAGGAUGGUGAAAUUGGCAGACACGCCAGCCUCAAAAGCUGGUGCUCGCAAGAGCGUGCGAGUUCAAGUCUCGCUCCUGACA